rnacentral:rRNA from 1 species
UACCAGCACCCCGAGUGGUCGGGACGAUUAUUGGGCCUAAAGCAUCCGUAGCCGGUCCACAAGUCUUCCGUUAAAUCCACCUGCUUAACAGAUGGGCUGCGGAAGAUACUAUAGGGCUAGGAGGCGGGAGAGGCAAGCGGUACUCAGUGGGUAGGGGUAAAAUCCUCUGAUCCAUUGAAGACCACCAGUGGCGAAGGCGGCUUGCCAGAACGCGCUCGACGGUGAGGGAUGAAAGCUGGGGGAGCAAACCGG